rnacentral:rRNA from 1 species
CUCACAGCUUAACUGUGGGCGUGCGGGCGAUACGGGCAGACUAGAGUACUGCAGGGGAGACUGGAAUUCCUGGUGUAGCGGUGGAAUGCGCAGAUAUCAGGAGGAACACCGGUGGCGAAGGCGGGUCUCUGGGCAGUAACUGACGCUGAGGAGCGAAAGCGUGGGGAGCGAACAGGAUUAGAUACCCUGGUAGUCCACGCCGUAAACGGUGGGUACUAGGUGUGGGUUCCUUCCUUGGGAUCCGUGCCGUAGCUAACGCAUUAAGUACCCCGCCUGGGGAGUACGGCCGCAAGGCUAAAACUCAAAGGAAUUGACGGGGGCCCGCACAAGCGGCGGAGCAUGUGGAUUAAUUCGAUGCAACGCGAAGAACCUUACCUGGGUCUGACAUGCACAGGACGCUGGUAGAGAUAUCAGUUCCCUUGUGGCCUGUGUGCAGGUGGUGCAUGGCCCUCGUCAGCUCGUGUCGUGAGAUGUUGGGUUAAGUCCCGCAACGAGCGCAACCCCUAUCUUAUGUUGCCAGCGCGUUAUGGCGGGGACUCGUAAGAGACUGCCGGGGUCAACUCGGAGGAAGGUGGGGAUGACGUCAAGUCAUCAUGCCCCUUAUGUCCAGGGCUUCACACAUGCUACAAUGGCCGGUACAAAGGGCUGCGAAUCCGCGAGGUGGAGCGAAUCCCUUGAAAGCCGGUCUCAGUUCGGAUCGGGGUCUGCAACUCGACCCCGUGAAGUUGGAGUCGCUAGUAAUCGCAGAUCAGCAACGCUGCGGUGAAUACGUUCCCGGGCCUUGUACACACCGCCCGUCACGUCCUGAAACUCGGUAACACCCGAAGCCGGUGGCCUAA